rnacentral:lncRNA from 1 species
UUUUUUUCGAUUGUGCUAUGGUUGACAUAUCUCUAGUUUUAACAUAGCGUUUGUAUAUUCGGAAACGCUACGAUAGAGUGGUAUAUUUAAAAAGGCUAAUAAUAGCUUAUGGUUUAAUAGCAAAACAUAACGAAACGUUACGAUAGCUUAUUGUUUAAUAGCAAAACAUAACAAAACGUUAUGUUUGCCUUUUUAAAUCUCUAAACCCU